UUCCUGGAGAAGGGACCUGAGUGUCCCACUUGGCCCCUGACCUGGAGAAGACCUGGCAGAGCAGAUCUGCAUGCCGUGGGUGUUUUGUGCUCCCAUGAACUUCCCCAGCAUGUGGUCAAGCCAAUUCAAUGACCGUUGUUCCUGGACAUGGACUGGAAGACAGGCAGAGACAUCUCUUGGGCUAGCUGGGGCCUUCAGCAGGGAGGAGGGCUGUAGCUCUCCCAAGUGCCUGUUUGUUCCUCAGCUUUCUUUUUCUCAAGGGCUUCAGGAAGCUGCAGAGGUUCAGAAGAUGGGUUUUUCCCCUUUCUUGAAAGCGCAGCUAAAAAUAGAGUAUUGAAACCAAGCCCAGCCCAUGAAGCAGAGUGUGUAGGUGUGAUGCUAACCAACACCCGGGGCUGUGAAGUGUCCUGAGGGGCUGGCACCCACCUCGUAUACAUGUUCUCUCUUUCUCCUCAUUCUUUCUUUGGCACUUUUUCAAAGAGCACAUGAGAUGAUGAAUCUAAAGUCAUUUUGUUUGAAAAUUGCCCUACGCAUGUUGUCCCAGGUAUAAGGAGAAGAGGACGAGGAGAGGAAAAUUGUUUUCAUUUGCAAAAUCUGUCGGGACCCCUGAGCUGCUACUGCUCUCUGCUUUUAUUUCCUGGCUGAAGGUUUCUAGAGGUGGCUGGUAGAAAAUGGUGAUUGCAGAUACUGCUUUGUGGUGGCAGACCAGGAUGUCUCUGAGGUUUUGCCCUUGGCAGAUGCAAAUAGGCCAGCAAAAAACAUGCAAUGCACAGGGGUGAGUUCUUGGACAGCCCUGGAUGGCAAAGGGGGAAGGUUUAAUGGAAGGGAGCUCCUCCUAGUGUCAUGAAACUGUGGAACCUCAGCUCAAGACCUGAAAGGAAGGCUGCCAUGGCAGUUGACUCAUUAAUUACAGGUUCUUCAAAGCUGCACAGUGUGGACAUGCCAGCCCCACAGUGCACCCCUCACUCACACCCUCCCAGCCUGUGUGUGGGUAGGUCUUGUGGGUGUGAUGGGGAGACAUAGGUCUCCCCUGAAGAUGUGGGAUUUGUAGGGCCUUUGCGUAGUGAGAAAAGUCAUAAAAUACAUGCGUGACGCUACCAUAGUCCCCCCAGAAGACCCAUGCCUCCACCCUGCCAUAGUAAAGGGGCUUGGGGCAGAGCAGGCAUUUAGAUGUUAAUCCUUACACAGCCUGAGGGCUGCAGCCACCAUGGAUGAAGGGCUGUGGUGGAGAAACAUGGGCUUAGUGUCAUCUGUAACGCAGUGCAGAUUGGUGUUUGGUACAAAGAGAAUUUGCCAUUGUUGGGUUUGGUGAAUUGCUUGGUGAUACCGUGACCUUGGAGCUGCUCAUAUCAUCCCUUUGCAUCGCCAGGAGGGGCUGUUUGCAGCCUUGGGGAGGGAGAGUUACCCUGUAAUGCAAGAAAGCCCGGGGUUUGAUGCAUAAAGGUGGCACAGGUGGGACAGUGCAUGUCCAAGAUGAGUUUUAUGAGCUGCGUUGGUCUGCAAUAGCCUACGCAGGGAAGGCUGCAAAAAUCCACGUGGGAACAAAAUGGGCUGUACUUCCAGUGGCAACUUCUCAGAGAUGGGCUUUCGGGGAGAGUCCAACUGGUGCUGCCCGACACCAGUGAAAGACCUAGACCCCGCAUUAGCCUCCCCUCCCACCAUCCACCACCCCUGCCGCCGUAAACACAUGGCUGGAGGCGGUUUAUUCCCUGUCAGCCCUUUCCUGCUUAUCUGGAGCCAGUGGCAAGAGCAGGAGCCGCUCUCGCAGAGUGACCCUGCAAAUCCUCGGAUGAAUGCCCGGACCAAGCGUCAUUUCCCAGGGGGAUCGGGGUGGAUUGGCUAAUUAAUCACAGCUUGUCUGGGGGAGGAUGAGGAAGUCUGAAUAAAGGUGUUAACGGCUCUUAAAGGCUUUCCUGGUUUGCAGAGGGUUCUGCCUCAAACAGAUUAUCUGGAAAUAUUAGCUGGAGUGGGAAAGGGUUUUUUCCCUUCUCUGUGCUCUUUGCAGUCACCCUAAAUCUGCUUGAGCUGUGGAGACAGGUUUUAUUGGGGGGGGAGAGGUGUUGGCUGUCAGUGGGUCAGCAAUUAAUUGGUUUAUUCCUUUCUCACGGUUAUUUUCUAACCAACAUCUGCUAAAACCCCGGUGCCCACUUUGUCCCAGCUCAGCAAACAAGAACCACAGGGAUUUGUGUUGGGGGGGACCCCAGGCCACAAGGUUGGCUUUGCAGGGGCUGUCGGGAGGUCCUUUGUCCCCUGCCAAGCCUCUUUCCUUGUUGUCUCGUCUUAGGAGGUGGAUGUGAUUAGCGUUUUCUGCCAUGAGAUGUCAGCUGAGCGAUGAGAACUGUGUGCCAAGAGGAGGACAGAGCUGCCACGGAUGGAUGAAGACCGUCCCUUUCAAACGCGAAGCGCAGCAAGCCCAAACCGGAUCCCUGUACUCCGUGGGGAUCGGCCUGCAGGGAUGACGAGAGAAACGGAGUGAGUCUCCAGCCCUGUCCAGAGCUAAACUGCAAAACCACAAGCUUCACCAAAGCCCUUCGAGCCAGCCUGUCUCCCAGCAGAGUCUCUGUCCCUCUCAAUUCAGGGCUGGAAAUAUUGACAGGAUAUUCUCCGCAGCCCACCUGGCAUCCGGUGGAGGCAAAGAAACAAAUGCCCAGGGCUGAGGCUGGAGCUGGCCCCACAAGGGAGAAUCCAGCUCCAAGCACUCCAAGGAAGCAAACAGACCCUUUAAAGACAUUUAUUGCUGAAGAAAGCAGGGAGAGAUUCAGCAUGAAGCCACAAAACCAAUUUUGAGGAAGAAAUGCAGCUUGCCUCCUGUCCCCCGUCCCUGAGAACCGAAGGGGAGAGACCGUCCAUCACUGCCCAUCGCUUCGGGUCAGCAUCCCGGGCAGCGGCAGCUCAACGGUCUCUUUGAGCGCAGUUCUGUUUAGGUUGGCUGCUGCUGAUCCCAGCCCCUCUUCAGCACAUGUGGAUGCUUUUAACCCCUCGGAGGUGGGGAGUGCCAGCCCACUGCACGCUCCGCAGCUGACGAGGACACUGCCGCGAUUCAUUCAUGUCCCUGCUCAGGGCACAGAUUGUAAACACGGUAGGGAAGCCAGGCCACGUCCCAGCCCAGCUUGGCUGCCUGCCUCGAGGUCCCCAUCGCCCAGAAUUUGGAGCUCACCUCUUUUUCCAUUACCUCCAAGCAGUAAUAGCGAAUGUUUCCAUAACGUUUCCUAAAAAUAAAAACGUCAACAGAAAUAGCCGUUUAAUAACACAAGUCUGUGCAUCUCUGGGCUCUGAGCAAUCUACAGGCUGGGAGGAGAAAUGCUGAAAUAGCUCAGGAGUUUGAAGAUACUCUGAGAAGCUCUCUUACUGAACAUGGACCAGCUCUCACCAGCAUCACCUGGGGCAGGAGGGCUGUUCGAGGGCUGUUUUCCCUCCCUCCCUAGGCGAAUAGCCAACCCCUCUCCAAAAACAGCCCAUCCAUCUGAUACCCUGUUCGACAGAAAAGCCUGUAUCAACAAUGCGAGUUGUGUGACCGUGCUGAGAUGCCAGUAGUGUGGCAGCACGUGGACUGGUUACCGUUCUGUCUCUUAAGCAGGGUGUUAAUUUUCUGUUACGGCUUUCACAGGGGAAGAAAUCAAAGGAUAUAGACGCCCUAUACAGGGAAGGGCUUUGCUAUGCAGGAAUGCAUCAACCUGGUACAGUUCAUAAUAGCCAUAAAUAUCAGAGAGCUGCUUUUGAUGAAAAACCGAGGAGCUGUCUUGACAGCAGCACUAUGCAGCAGCACAGGAGAGAAAUCAGAGAGCAAGUACUUUGUGCAGCCUUUUGGGGAAUGGGUGGUUGAGCUGGGAUGUAAAGAUAACAAAAUUAACUCCUACUUGCAGUUCAGGCAAUGUUAAACCCCUGCAAUUCAAGUUUUGGGGGAAUGACCCUACUUGGCAUCCUUGCUUGCCUUCCUCGAGCCCUAAUCUGUCCCCAUCAAAAUCCCUGGCUGGAUCCUUUAUAGGAACCAGCGGUGGGGACAGGAGCUUCUCCCCACUCGCUGAGGAUGGAUGGUGGAUGCUCUGGUGGUUAAAGCGCUAGUACAGGCUGCAUUAACCCGUCUUCUGUGCCCGAUCUGUAAGUUGGCAGGUCUGAUGGGUGUGCUGCAUGGUUAAAGCGACCAGUGCUCAGUACGGGAACAGGGCAUCCGAGGACAUCAGGAGGACAGUGAAAGCCUUGUCAUACAGCCUAAAGUCUCACAGCAAGUGUCUAUUAAUAAGCCAUGCCUACGCUUCCUCCAGGUGUUUACAGUGCGCUUUCUCCCUGUUAGCUUUGAAAACCACAGCUCCGUUUUGACAUAGCAAGUCCUUUUCUUUUAGUGAUGCAUUCAGUACCGCAAGUGCGUUUGGCUGGGGAAGCGUGUUGGUAAAAACCAACCUCGUUUUGAAAAGCCAGCAGGAUUUCCCUGUAAAAAUGAUCUCUGUCUCCAGAUGAACAGUUUCAGCCUGUCCUCUGGGAGUCUCUCUGCUCUGGAGAUGGUGGCUGGCUGGCUUUAAUGCUGGCUGCAGAUGGGUGCCACCAAACCCAUGCAACAUACAGUGGUGACAGCAUCAGCCCAGUCGGCAAGGUCACCUCCCCCUGUGCGGGCUGUCCUGGGGAACGGGGGCAGGUGGGGAUUCCUGGGUGCUUGGAAAGGGACCUUUGGAGGCUGCCAGCCUGCGGGGAUCCCCCCAAAAACCCUGAAAAGUGGCUGGUUCCUUACCCUUGCCCAGGGAAGAGCCCCUUGUGCCAUGCUGAUGCUUUGGCAGAGUCGAAACUGGCAUAGCUGCCAAACGGGGCCAGCUGACAACUGGAUGAGCCCGGCUUGUGAGUCAGGUUGGGCUGGGAAUGUAAGGAAAAAAAGCAUUUUCAGCCCAGGGAAACAAUGGGAAAUGAACUGGAAACUGGGACCUCUGAGCUCCUCCACCCUUCCCCAAGGGGAGUGCUGGGGUGCAGAAGGCAGUUCCCAAAAUCCAACAUCUGUUGUAACUCAGCUGUACCCUCUGAGAAACGUCUUUUUGUCAUUAGACGUGCAGCUACUGCUGGAGUGACUCCCUUCUCCUUAGCUGGAGCUGGAGACAAAGGAAAGAAUUGUUGGUAAUGAGCUAUUUAUGGAGAAAUUCAUCUUGAUAUUUGCAUCACUAAUACAAGGCAAGGCAGUGCCGUGACUCUCCUACCGUGGUUAAGGACGGCACUCGGAGGAGGUUGGGAGCCUCGAGGUCCCGCAAUUGUUUAAUGCCCGAUGUGAGCCCAGUCGAGAAACAGGAGGAGACACAGCAAAGAGACAGAGCAACGCAGUUCUCGGGGUUUGUGCGUAGCGAGCUGCAGUGCGCAGGAGACUGCUUCCAGGCUGGCACCCAGUCGAGGCAGCCGAAAUCAGCUCGCUGCCCGGACGCGAUCGCCUUGUCGAAGCAGCAGCAGCACAGAUAGACCGCCAGGAACUGUUUCCCCAGCCUCCUAAUAGGCAGUGAGUGCUUGUUUAAAAUAAAGCCUGACAAAUGGCAUGUUGGGGGCGUCAAGUCCUGGAGCACUGUCUUCCGAAAAGUAUGAAAAGGCACCAGAGGGGAGCCUGGCACAGCCUCCCUGAUGACAGUAAUUAAAGGCUUCUGCACUCAGGGCUGGGAGCUGCUCCUCUUGCAAAUUGGCCUUGAUUGAAGAGGAAGAGAAUGAUUAGGCUGAAAGGGAGUGAUGGGCGUGGCAGGCAAAAACACAGAGACCUAUGAGCACCAAAGACAUCCCGGCUGGGGUCCUCCGUGGAGCAGUUUGUCUUGAAGUACUUGGGGAAGUCACCGCGGCAGGAUGCUACCUCCAAACCCAGCCAGCUGCUUCACAGGGCAGGGCCAAGGAACGGGUCCAAAACUCAACCGAGAGCCUCUGGCCCCCAAGUCCGGAGCAGUAACAGUCAGGAAUCCCAAAUAAACCCGCCACAGGCGAUGACAUUUUUUGGUGAGGCACUGCCAAACCCCACCGGUCGUCCGUGCACAAAAGGGGUCGGGUCAUCCCUCGCACAGCCCUGCAACUGCAGCCUUGCUUGCUGCAGGGUUUCUGCUGAACACGGCCGGGUUUUGUCCUGCAAGAGGAGCUGCCUGGGUUUUGCAGUCCAGAUACUCAGGUAACUGGGUGCCCGAGUGGAUUGUUUGAGUCCAGGAUGACUUGGGAGACACGUGGAAGCCAACGUCCACCUGCCAUCUGUGUACAGGGUCCAUGCGCUUCGAGGCAGUAACGUCUCAGGUCCAGACAGGCAGAGGCAUCCUGGCAGGCUACUUGACAUCUCCAUCAGAUGGCAAGAUAGUGGAAGUCUCCAGAGACUCUUCCUACACGAGCCGCAGACUCCGAACUCUGAAUCCCCAUUCACAGACUCUGAGCUCCUGAGGUUCAUUUUACCACUUCAAUAAUAGGGAAAAUUAUGCGAAUUGGUGGCAGAAGCAAGUUAUAUGGUGAGCGGAGAGAAAUACAGCUCCAGAGCCAGGUUAUUGCUUCAGACAAGGCUGCAGCAGGCGACGGCGCCCGGCUCUCCCAGCAGAGAUGGCUGCAGUGAAAUAACCCAGGAGGUCCUGGUUAAAAUUAAUUGAGUUAAUUAAUUGAGCAGCUGUGGGAUGGCUAUUUUCCCUGCGUGCCCUGGCUCUUAGUCUUCCUCUCCAAGGGGAGAAAGUGUCGUUGAACCCAUUUAUUGGCAAUGCUGGCUCUCUGAAGCAGAGGUUGUCACCCUCAGUGUCCCAUCACCUCUGAGAUGCUCACUGCAGGUGCCUGAGCCUCAGCUGGGACUCAGAACUUUUAGACCUUGUGGCAACGUUUUCUAGAUGUAGAGAACUGCGAGAAGGAAAUAUUCCGGAGAGUUUCUAUGUUAGUGUCCGCAGAGGGAUGGCGUUGCCUCCCCUCCACCCGCUGAGAGCCCGGGAUGGGGAUGUGGUGCUGGGUGGCACCUGCGAGGGGCGGGUGGGCUGGGUGUGCGGUGUGCUUCAGACUCCUCAAAAAUGAUGUCAGCCCAGAUCUUCACUUUCCUUUUGUUGUGUGCAGCAGGUCAAGUCCUGCUCUGGAACUCAUUGGGUUGUGCGUAGCUGAUAGAAAUGCUGCUCCUGGCCCAUGGAAGGGCUUUUGGGCUGGGGUAUGGGGUUUUUUUUUCUUUUUUUUUUUGCAGCCAACCCAUUCAGGAAUGAAUAAGCUUUUCUUUUCUUAGCCAUCACUUUUUGCAGCAUGUGUCAAGCUAACAAUGGCUGGGUAUUCCUCUGAGGCUGUAAAAUAAGCUCAUUCAUCCUUUCUUUCUAUUUGUUGUAAGCAGAACAAAACAAACAAACAAACAAAAAAAAAAACCAAAAGAAAAAAAAGAAAAAAAAGAAAAACCUACUGAGCUACUCUUUGCUUUCUGGAUGGAGCCUGUGGUAUGGCACCAGCCAAGCACUGCUCUGGGUCAAACACAAAGGUGAUGUGCCAUUUGUGUUCGCCCAGCUGCAUGGAUACAGAGUGAGGGAGAAGGCAGGAAUGUCAGUGGGAGCCUCUCGCGGGCUCCUCCUCGCCAAGAGGAGCCUCCCUCCCGCCAGCUUUGCCGGAGCUCUCUAAUUUCCAGCAGGAUCACGUUAACCACGGACCAUGCAGGAGCAGGGCUGGGGUUUCAGUCCAUGGCCACCUUCCCGUUGAGUCAGGGCUGAAUCACAACCCUGUGCCAAGCGCAAUGGGCCACGGUGCUGCUGGAGAUGCUGUUGGGGUGGUGGUGGUGGGAGCUCAACCUGCAUCAGUGGUGGGGAUGGAUGGGGGAUGCUGUCACUUGGCAUGUGGCGGUGGCCUUGAUGUUGCAUGGCAUUGAGAUGCAGUAGAGGCUGGAGGGGGGGAGAUAACAAAAUGACAUCUAUGUCUUUGGAAAGAGAGACAGCAAACGAGUCGCCUGACUCCCUGGGAAAGGGCUUGGUGGAGGAGUUUGGGUUCUACCCCAAAACUCCCUGCCGGUGACAGGAGACUGAUGAGGGAAGAAUCUCAAGCUUGGCUGUGGGACAAGGAUGGCAGCACUGCAAACACCUUUACCUGCCAGGAGCAAAAUGCUAGAGGAUGUAUAUCCAAGCAUUUGGAACA